rnacentral:rRNA from 1 species
GAGUUUGAUCGUGGCUCAGGAUGGACGCUGGCGGCGUGCCUAAUACAUGCAAGUCGAGCGAACGGACGAGAAGCUUGCUUCUCUGAUGUUAGCGGCGGACGGGUGAGUAACACGUGGAUAACCUACCUAUAAGACUGGGAUAACUUCGGGAAACCGGAGCUAAUACCGGAUAAUAUUUUGAACCGCAUGGUUCAAAAGUGAAAGACGGUCUUGCUGUCACUUAUAGAUGGAUCCGCGCUGCAUUAGCUAGUUGGUAAGGUAACGGCUUACCAAGGCAACGAUGCAUAGCCGACCUGAGAGGGUGAUCGGCCACACUGGAACUGAGACACGGUCCAGACUCCUACGGGAGGCAGCAGUAGGGAAUCUUCCGCAAUGGGCGAAAGCCUGACGGAGCAACGCCGCGUGAGUGAUGAAGGUCUUCGGAUCGUAAAACUCUGUUAUUAGGAAGACAUAUGUGUAAGUAACUGUGCACAUCUUGACGGUACCUAAUCAGAAGGCCACGGCUAACUACGUCG